rnacentral:rRNA from 1 species
AAUACCCGCCGAACUUAAGCAUAUCAGUAAGCGGAGGAAAAGAAACUAACAAGG